AGUGGCGGACGGGUAAGUAACACGUGAGCAACCUGCCUCUCAGAGUGGAAUAACAGUUGGAAACGGCUAGCUAAUACCACGUAACGUUUUUUGUGCCGCAUGACACUUCAACCAAAGAUUUAUCGCUGAGAGAUGGGCUCGCGUCCGAUUAGGUAGAUGGUGGGUAACGGCCUACCAUGCCGACGAUCGGUAGCCGGACUGAGAGGUUGAUCGGCCACAUUGGGACUGAGACACGGCCCAGACUCCUACGGGAGGCAGCAGUGGGGGAUAUUGCACAAUGGGCGCAAGCCCUGAUGCAGCAACGCCGCGUGCGGGAAGACGGCCUUCGGGUUGUAAACCGCUGUCCUUGGGGAAGAAACAAAUGACGGUACCCAAGAAGGAAGCCACGGCUAACUACGUGCCAGCCGCCGC
rnacentral:rRNA from 1 species